rnacentral:lncRNA from 10 species
GCAGUACAUGUGCAGGUUUGUUACAUGGGUACAUUACAUGAUGCUGCAGUUUGGGUAUAAACAAUCCCUCAUCCAAGUAGUGAGCACAGCACCCAGUAUUUAGUUAGUCAACUCUUGCCUCUCCCUCUCCCUCCCCACCAGUGGUCCCCAGUGUCUGCUGUCACCAUCUUUAUGUCCAUGAGUACCCAACAUUUAGCCUCCACGUAUAAGUGCAAACAUGCGGUGUUUGGUUUUCUGUUCUUGCACUAAACAUGGUUUUGAUAUUUUUAGGCCAGUUGAAACUAUCAAUAAAGGAAAAUAUAAAUAAAUGUUCAAAAUGGAAACUUGUCAAUACUGUUUUCAAAAGUACCUAUAAUUUUCAUAUUUUGAAAUAAAAUCUUGAUAUUAAAUACACCAUUGCAAAAAUAUUGAGAUAAAAUAUUUGCAUGAAUAAAGAAAAGCAAAACCUAUUAAUACAUAAUGAUAAAGUACUAUGCCAGCGUUAAAAUAAAAACUUGAGACAAAUUAAAUCAACAGAGCUUAACUGAGCAAAGAAUGAUUCAUGAAGGGGGCAGGCCCCAAAAUCAGAACAUGUUCAGAAAGACUCUGUCAUUACAACCAACAAGUAGUCAAACAACAUUAAUGCACAGAGAAAAGGAAAUGAGGUACAGAAACAGCUCCAUUGGUUGCAACUCAGUGCAGCCUUAUUUGAACCUGGUUUAAACAGUUAACCACCUACGAUUGGCUGAAGCUCGGCUGCUCUGAUUGGCUGAGACUCAGCUAUUUGUUACAAAACCAUACUUAUAAAUUAGGCUUUCGAUUUGUUUACAUACUGAGUUAGACUGCAGUUUGUUAUACAGAACUGGUAUGGAGGCCUCUAAAGCCGAAAUUUAGUUUGAUUUAACACCAGUCUAACAAUCAAUAUUAAAAGUAAUCUGAAAUUAGAAUAACCAUAAAACAGAAGCUCAGGAUUAACCUGAAGGCAAAGCUAUAAACCAGGUUAAAAGCAUAUAAAUUAGUCUUGUAAUUCUAAAGAUAAUAAUUAUAGAAGUAGCUGACAUUUACUGAAUGCUAACUCUACGCUUGACAUGUAUUCAUUAUAAUGUUAUCUCUAAUACAAUCUUUAUAAUCACCCUCUGAAAUGGAGUUUCAAUAACUAUUUCCAUUAUUCAAAUGAUGAAGCUGGGUUAAAGAUAUUAACUAACUUACCUAAGUUAGAUAAGUCCAUACUUACCUAACUUACAUGUACUCGUACAGUGUAUACCUAAUACAAGUAUGGGCCGGGCACGUUGGCUCAUGCCUGUAAUCCUAGCAUUUGGGGAGGCCGAGGCAGGCAGAUCACAUGAGGUCAGGAGUUUGAAACCAGCCUGGGCAACAUGGUGAAAACCUGGCUCCAUUAAAAAUACAAAAAAAAAAUUAGCUGGGCGUGGUGGCGGAUGCCUGUAGUCCCAGCUACUCCGGAAGCUGAGGCAGGUCAAUUGCUUGAGCCUGGGUGGGGGAGGUUGCAGUGAGCCAAGAUCAUACCACUGCACUCCAGCCUGGGCAACAGAGCAAGACUCCAUCACAAAAACAAAACAAAAUGAAACAAGUAUCCUUGUACUAAGUGCUUUAGCCACAAUUUGAAUCCCAACCAGCUUGACUACAAAGACCUCUCUCAUGAGUAAAAUAAUUUGGGAGCAAGAUAUGAUCAUUAUAGCCUCCAAUUACUAAGCAUCUAAUACCACAUAGCUUGAGAGUUACAUAGGGCUUAGCAUAGUGCCUACUAUCCUCCAGGCAGUCAAUAUUUGUUGAAUGAAUAUUUACUUCCUACUUCCAAAAAGCAUUUCCUUAUAUUGUUCUUAACUAUUCAGCACAUUGGUGUGGCUAGCCCAGGGUACCUUCCCAUCUAGAUAAAAUGAGAGUCGCAGUGACCGAGAUAUUCUUCCUUGGCUCUCUUGGUUCUAGGCUUCAUGCAGACCACUCACUGCCCGUUUCUUCUGCCAGUGCAUUGCUGCAAUAGUAUACUGUUUGGAUGAGUUACAACUUUCUUCACAUUAAUUACUCUGAUUAACUCCUACGAAGGUUGUGCUUGCAGUAUAGCUCCUCUGACUACACUAGGAAGUCCCCUUCUCCUCAACAAGGAUGUUAGUGGCCCUUUCUUGGGGUGGGCUAUCUUUACCCUUCCCUGCUCUGACCCAUUUAUGAUGAUUCUUUAAUUUCAGAGGAUUGGCCUCAUCCUUAAAUCCCAACUAUAAGCCUUAUAUGGAGCUUCUAGUCCACUAUAAUGGGCUGGGCUUUUUUGUUUGUUUGUUUGUUUGUUUUUUCCUUUCCUUUUUCAAGAAUUGGGGUGAGGAUCACUUGAGCUCAGGAGUUUGAGACCCCAUCUCUACCA